UAACAGAGGGAAACUUCUGAUAAUACUGGAUAAGUUAGUAUAUCGCAUGAUAUGCAAAUGAAAGCUACGGCACUAAAGGAGAGCUUUGCGUCCUAUUAGCUAGUUGGUAAGGUAAGAGCUUACCAAGGCGAUGAUAGGUAGCCGGCCUGAGAGGGUGGACGGCCACAAGGGGACUGAGAUACGGCCCUUACUCCUACGGGAGGCAGCAGUA
rnacentral:rRNA from 1 species